AACAGGAAGGCCCUGAUUGGAGGAGUGUGCCUGGCGGUCUUGUCUACAGCAUCAACCCUGGCUGUUGCGCUGCAGGUCUACUCCUACCGCUAUGGCGCCUUCAUCUUCAUGGGAUCACUGCAGAUGGAGAGCACUGCUGAUCAUAUCCGUCUCGUCUACAUGCUGCCUCACCAACAUUUCGUCUCUUUCGUCGUGGGUGUAUUCGAAGCUUACGUAUUCGUGAACAAAAAGCUGUGGUCGACUACACGGGUGCGUGUCGCAGUGCUGUGGGUCGUGGCUAUCGCGAUCACAACAUUGGUGUGCUUGUUUCCCUACGCGUGGGAUUCGGCUGCGAUUCCUUACGACCCUGCGCUAGCGGCCCUGUAUGCCUCUCUCUAUCCCCUGCUUUGGAGCGUCUCGGUUACCUGGAUGCUGCACUCUUGCAUCACGGGGA